rnacentral:lncRNA from 1 species
UAGAUCUUCACAGACCGGAUGUUAAGCAAGUGGAAAGGCAGAACAGCCUCCACUCGCCGUGCACGGGGAAGAGUGGGCGGCGGGCGUGGGUUUGGGCCUGGGACCCAGGUGUUCCUCUAGGCCCAGGGAGGGCAUCGCUGCCCACCUGCCUCACAGGUGGUUCUGAGGCGUCUCUCAACAGCCAUAUGGCGGACACCAGAACUCGGGUAUAACAGUGACCCGUUUCUGUGUGGGUCCCCACUCCCAGGGAGGGCAGGAAAGCGCCGGGGGCGUAACCCCCCUCCCCCACGCUGGCACCAGAGUGUGAGGAGAAUCGGCUUAAGGCAGCUCCCAGUCCCCAUGGCCCCCAAGGUCGAAAGAAUCGGGACAGGAAACGGGUCGAGGGACCGAGUUUGGGCCGCAAUGUUCAGAGCGUGUCCAUCCUGCUCUUUAAAUCCCCUCUCCAUCCCAGAACAAAAGCCGGGCGCAGAACCCCAUCGCCCCCCGCGCUCGCUGCGGUCUCGCGCCCGGGUAACGGCCGAUGGCCGCCCCUGCCCCAGCCGCAGCCGGGGAGGAAAUCCCGCGCCUCGGAGGAGGCGCUUCGGGCUCGGGCGGGUUCCGGGAGCCGAGGGGGCCGGGAGUAGGUGGGCGCAUAGGGGCUCCUGGGAGGCGGGACCAAGACGCGCGUUACCGGGAGACCAGGCCCCGCGCUGCACCCUCCGCGGCCCGGGGCCUGAGGCCGGGCUCCCCCGGCUUCCCGGCCCAAAGCAACGCAGCGCCCGGGCGGCCCAGCCCCGCAGCGGCCGCAGCAGCAUAGCUGGGCGAGCGGAUCCAGAGGCCUGGGCUUCCUUCCUGUGCGAGCCGGCGCGGCCGACUGCUCGUCCAGCCCUUGCGCGCCGCCUGGAUCCCGGCGCCUGGCCCUUAAAGAGACCCGGUCGCAUUUCAUCUUCUCAGCAAGAGGAGAAAUACUCGAAGGAAGAGGUUCGCCGCUGGCAGCCAGAAGCCUUACCACUGGUAGGACGCUGGCAAAACGCACCCAUAACUUGGCAACACUCGGAGGAUGGAUGGCAAAUAAUACCAGAGACUGAUGGGUUAAUUAAUGAUUGCAGAUUAAUUGAACACCUUCUGUAAUCAGACACCUGGCACACACUCAUGAUGUCACUUAUUCCUCCCAACAACCCUGCAAAUAGAUAUUGUCUCUCCCCUUCUCCGAGCUUGUCCUCAGAGAAUUAGGUAACUUGUUCAAAAUGGUCAGAAGCAACAGAUAUAACUCCUUGCUCUACUCUUUCCCCCCUUCUCACUACUGCACUUGACUAGUCUUUUUAAAACAUAAAAUUUUUUGGCCAGGCACGGUGGCUCACGCCUGUAAUCCCAGCACUUUGGGAGGCCAAGGAAGGCGGAUCACCUGAGGCCAGAAGUUCAAGACCAGCCUUGGCCAACAUGGCGAAACCCCAUCUCUACUAAAAAUGCAAAAAUUAGCUGGGUGUCGUGGGGGGGCACCUGUAUUCCCAGCUACUCAGGAGGCUGAGGCAGGAAAAUCGCUUGAACCUGGGAGGCAGAGAUUGCAGUGAGCCGAGAUCGCUGCACUGCACUCCAGCCUGAGCAACAGAGGGACACUUCGUUCCCCCCACCGCCAAAAAAAAUUUUUUUUUAAUGAUCAGAAGCGGCUGGGCGCGGUGGCUCGGGCCUGUAAUCCCAGCACUUUCGGAGGCCGAGGAGGGCGGUUCACUUGAGGUCAUGAGUUCAAGACCAGCCUGACCAACAUGGCCAAACACUGUCUCUACUAAAAAUACAAAAAUUAGCCGGGCGUGGUAGCGCACGCCUGUAAUCCCAGCUACUCAGGAGGCUCAGGCACGAGAAUCGCUUGAGUCUGGGAGGCGGAGGUUGCAGUGAGCUGAGAUCGUGGCCACUGCAAUCCAGUCUGGGCGACAGAGUGAGACUACAUCCC